rnacentral:lncRNA from 1 species
CCCGCCCUCCCAUUGGCCGCCGGGGGAACCUUUCACCUUUUACCCGGCUGCGGCCACCAAUCGCCUGCUUCCUCUCAUAGCGUGUGGGGAUGCGGCGCGUGCGGACUGCGCAGGGCGGAAUUCUCGGAGCGGGGUUGCGCCGCGGGCGCUGGGCGGCCCCCGUUGGUACGGGCGGGAGGGGCGGAGGCGGCGCUCCGUUUGCGUAGCGCCGGCCGUAGCGCAGGGGCAAGGGAGGGAGGGGGAGGCCGUCCCGGGCCCAGGUGAAUGGAGGGACCUGACAGCUGCGGGGACUGAGGCGGCGGCGGCGGCGGGGAAAUGGCGGCGGCGGGAGCACAAUGAGACGCGGCCUGUAGUAGGGAAAAGCGCCGGGCUGGGUCCGGUCCGAGCAGGUUACCUAGGGUGAAACAAAAUUACAGAAUUGGAGACUCUGGAAAAGCUCAGCAUCAGCAUUUGAGUCAAGGCUUACAAAUUAUGUGAUUACUCUACAAGCUGAUAUCAUGAUGUCAAAAUGCAGUUCAGGAAGCAUAAACACAGAGACUGCGGAAAUUAAAACGGUAAGGCUGCUUUGUGGUAUGGGAGAAGCAGGUUUUGAUGUAUCACUGCACUGUGUUCUCCUGGUUUGUAUUUAAAGAUGCUUCAGAACCAUAGAGUAAAGUAACUUCCAUAUGUGAGUUUAUAGAAAUUGACUGAAUUUCUUUGGAAAGAAAAACAAAAGCAGCUACUUCAUUUUAUUAGUAGAAGUUUAGAUGUUUACCAUGAAACUCUUGCCGUGAUACUUCUUAUGAAGUUAAAUAUAAUCAGAAAUCUAUUCAGUUUUUUGUAAGGAUGUUUGUGUGCUCUUCUUGUGGAUCUUAUAUUCAAAUGUGGUUGUGAAAUACGAUCAGCUUUAAAAAAAAAAAAAAGACUAGGCACAAGGGGUUAGAAUUAGAAUUGAAUUCAUAUGUUGUUCCAGAUAGGAGAUACAAAGUAAAUGGUAAGGAAAAGAUAUGACAGGUAAAUUAAGGUCUUAGUUUCAAUAGUAUGCUUCAGUUUGAAAUAUGAGUACAGCAAAAAUAGGCAAAGAGGCUAUCUGAUUAAAACUACCUCGCAGAAAAAUGUGCUUUGAUAACAUAGGGAAGACAGAAAUGUAUUUAGUUCUGCUGUGCUGGCCUUGCAUCUUAGAUCCAUAUACUUCAUGUUUUGUCUUUUGUCAUCUGUGUUAGGGAGGUGAAAGGAGUCUGCAUAGCACCAGUUCUACAUUGCUGAUUAAGCAACUGCAUAGUUAGGAUUGUUGCACUGGCCUUGUACACAUCAUUUUAAUAAAUGAAAGUUUGUUCCAGAAUCUGGCUGCA